rnacentral:lncRNA from 1 species
UGGUAUUCUUGGUUUUAUGCUUGGUUUUCCUUGUUUUUUCAGGAAUUAACAUGAAUUGGAUGAAGGAAGUUGAAGAAGCAAGGAGCUGGACUCAAGAAAAGAUGGAAAAGUGCACAAAGGAAGAACUACAGCCACCAUUGAGCGUAAGUCACCGUUGAGCGCCAGUCACGUUGUGGAGUUCUCUGUCAAACGCUUAAGCGCCAACGCUGAGAGGAAAAACAAGUGCCACAGCCAGCAUUGAGCACCAUUUUUUCCACUGAGCAACAGCCUCUUCAAUGAAUUAACUGUCAAACACCUAGGCGUCAACACUGAGCGUUAUUCCUGAGUGUCGCACCUACCGCUGAGCGGUAACCAAGCGUUGAGCGCCAUUUUCGUGGUCCUGGG